GACGAACGCUGGCGGCGUGCUUAACACAUGCAAGUCGAGCGGUAAGGCCCUUUCGGGGGUACACGAGCGGCGAACAGGUGAGUAACACGUGGGUGACCUGCCCUUAGCUCUGGGAUAAGCCUGGGAAACUGGGUCUAAUACCGGAUAUGACUCCAUGACGCAUGUUGUGGGGUGGAAAGCCUUGUGCGGCUAGGGAUGGGCCCGCGGCCUAUCAGCUUGUUGGUGGGGUGANGGCCUACCAAGGCGACGACGGGUAGCCGGCCUGAGAGGGCGACCGGCCACACUGGGACUGAGACACGGCCCAGACUCCUACGGGAGGCAGCAGUGGGGAAUCUUGCGCAAUGGGCGAAAGCCUGACGCAGCGACGCCGCGUGAGGGAUGACGGCCUCGGUGUAACC
rnacentral:rRNA from 1 species